CCUACGGGCGGCUGCAGUGGGGAAUAUUGCACAAUGGGCGCAAGCCUGAUGUAGCCAUGCCGCGUGUGUGAAGAAGGCCUUCGGGUUGUAAAGCACUUUCAGCGGGGAGGAAGGCGUUAAGGUUAAUAACCUUGUCGAUUGACGUUACCCGCAGAAGAAGCACCGGCUAACUCCGUGCCAGCAGCCGCGGUAAUACGGAGGGUGCAAGCGUUAAUCGGAAUUACUGGGCGUAAAGCGCACGCAGGCGGUCUGUCAAGUCGGAUGUGAAAUCCCCGGGCUCAACCUGGGAACUGCAUUCGAAACUGGCAGGCUAGAGUCUUGUAGAGGGGGGUAGAAUUCCAGGUGUAGCGGUGAAAUGCGUAGAGAUCUGGAGGAAUACCGGUGGCGACGGCGGCCCCCUGGACAAAGACUGACGCUCAGGUGCGAAAGCGUGGGGAGCAAACAGGAUUAGAUACCCCGGUAGUC
rnacentral:rRNA from 1 species